rnacentral:rRNA from 1 species
GCUCCAAUAGCGUAUAUUAAGUUGUUGCGGUUAAAAAGCUCGUAGUUGGAUUUCUGCCGAGGACGACCGGUCCGCCUCUGGGUGAGCAUCUGGCUCGGCCUGGGCAUCCUCUUGGAGAACGUAGCUGCACUUGACUGUGUGGGGCGGUAUCCAGGACUUUUUACUUUGAGGAAUUAGAGUGUUUCAAGCAGGCAUACGCC